rnacentral:lncRNA from 1 species
UUAGACGGAGUCUAAUGGAGUGCAAUGGCUCGAUCUCGGCUUACUGCGACCUCCGCCUCGCAGGUUCAAGCGAUUCCCCUGCCUCAGCCUCCCGAGUAGCUGGGACUACAGGCAUGCACCACCACGCCCAGCUAAUUUUUUGUAUUUUAGUAGAGACGGGGUUUCACCAUGUUGGCCAGUAUGGUCUCGAUCUCCCGACCUCGUGAUCUGCCCGCCUCAGCCUCCCAACGUGCUGGGAUUACAGGUCUAGCAGAGCAACUGCGAGAUCUAGGAGGCGCCUCACUCUCUACUCUGGAAAAGAUAAGAACUGAAGAGUAAAUAAAUACCUGAGAGAAACACAUCACUGCAAGAAAAGAGGCAGAAGUGCAGGUACAUUCAUUGGAACUAUGUCUCAGAAAUAGUACAUAUUUGAAACAUUUAACCUUCAUAAAUUUUUUAUAAGGAUCCAUAUUCAUAUCCUCAAUUAUACAUUAGGGAACCAAGGCUCAUCAAGUAAUGUGGUCAAUGCAAAAAUUAAAUUAGUAAGUGAAGAAACUGGGUUUCACACCCAUAUCUAACUUCAAAAUCCAUGUGACUGACACUACCAUCCUUCCUUGCCAACACUAGUUCAGAUACCAAAGGAUAAAAGUAGACUUUUAAUUUAUUAUAUGAUUGCAAAAUUGUGUAUGCUCAUUAUAAAAUUUGUAAAAACAGAAAGCCAUAAGCAAAAAGAUCCACAAUCCCACCCACCUAGCAAUACCCAUUGUUAAUAUUUUGAAGUAGGUUCUAUUUUUUAUGAAUGAUAUAAUUAUCUUUUAAGUAAAUCAUGAUAUAAUGCUGUUUUAUAAUCUGCUUUUUUAUGAACCUUCCCAAUCUGCUUAUUUUUCCACAAUGUCAUUUUUAGACAAUUACACAUUGUUCCACAAAAUUAAUAGACUACAAUUAAUUUAAGCAUUCUAAAUUGAUAUUUAGGUUGAUAUGAUUUUUUACUAUUAUAAUGAAAACGAUGACAAACAUUCUUGUCAAUGAUUUUAUGAGCAUGUUUAGUUUAUAAGAAUAAAUUUGUAAAGCAAUAUUGCUGAAUCAAAGUGCAUGCAUUUCUUCAAGUCUUUCACUAUAUUACCAAAUUGUAUUUCACAAAUUUUUACAGCAAUUUAUACUUUCACCAGCAUAUUUGGGAAUACAUCUCUCCUUGCAACUUUAAUAACACAAGGAAUUAUCAUUUUUCCAUUGCUAUUAGUUGAUAAACAGAAAAGAG